UACGGGGGGAGCAAGCGUUGUUCGGAUUUACUGGGCGUAAAGGGCGCGUAGGCGGCACCGCAAGUCGAUUGUGAAAUCUCCGGGCUUAACCCGGAAAGGUCAACCGAUACUGCGGGGCUAGAGUGCAGAAGGGGCAACUGGAAUUCUCGGUGUAGCGGUGAAAUGCGUAGAUAUCGAGAGGAACACCUGCGGCGAAGGCGGGUUGCUGGGCUGACACUGACGCUGAAGCGCGAAAGCUAGGGGAGCGAACGGG
rnacentral:rRNA from 1 species